UCUCCUUUUCUCCCUUUUUCUGUACUCUCGUCCUCACCUCUGCCCACUGCCCAGUUCUGCGUUUCUCAAGUUCAUACUCUCACCUCUCUCUACCAAGUCACUCUAUCUCCUCUCCUCAAUAAUCUGCUCUCAUCUCUCAACCUUAUUCAGUAUCCUAAGGAGAACGCGCUCCACACGCCUAAACCCUAGAAAACUUUGUCUCUGUUCUUGUUGGUUCUCGUCCGGCUGUGCCGCGGCGUGGGCGCAGGCCUCUAGCCUCGCCAGCGUGCGUCGAGUACGGCCGGACGAGAUGUUGGUGUAGGUGGUUGGUCUGGCGAUCAGAGUCUGGGGUUGAGAGGUUUGCUCUUGCCUGGGUUCCAGUUGAAAAUGACGGAGGCACAGAAGGAGGGUUCGUGGUUGAAGGAGGUGACCGGUUGCGUGGCCGGCGUUCGCAUCCGAUCUGGAGCGUGGGUCAGUGGGUGGAUCCGAUCCGAUCGUGUGGUAGUUGGAGUCAGUGAGAGGCGUGGUGCUGGGUUUCUACCGGAGAUGGUAGUUCCUCGUAUUAGAAUCUCGUGGUUUGGGGUUGUGGUCAUGGAAGGGACGAUCUGCCGGAUCUUUGCCGGAGAUGGUGGGUCGACUGCAGGCAGGGUCUGAAAGAGGAGGCGGCGCGCCGGUCUGGGAGACGCGACGGUGGUGGAUGAGCUGACUGUGCCCAAGUCGGAUUGGGCUGGGAUCAAGGAGUUCGUUGUGUGCACAACUCUUGGAAGAAGAAAUUAGUGCAAUUCAAAGGAGGGAAAGGUGGAGUUUGCCGUGCAAAAUUCUAGGGAAGUUAAGAGGAAGGAAUAAAAUCAGAAAAUACUAGAGAGGAAUAAGGGAUGUAUCCGGUCACCAUUCAAGGGAAAAGAGAUCAUAAAAUUCAAGACUCUGUCAUGAGAAAAUCAAGGAAAUUUGGAGAAAUCACCUCUAGAUGAUUGGCCAUGAUUGCAUCACAAGAGAGGAGGAUUCCUCUAUAAAUAGCAGCCAUUCUUGACACAACUUCUCCCAUAAUUCUUUCAUUCUUUUCAACAUCAGAAAAAUUCUCUCCAUUCUCUAGUCUUUAGAAGCUCUGCGUCUCAACCAAGGAGGAGGAGAAGUCAUGCAAUACAUCAAGAUCCUACCCACCAUCCACCCUUGUGUCGUCCCUAGAAGAUUGCUUGCUUUCAAGGAUCUUCGAGUUCUUCGUCUCAAGGCUUUGUCAUUCAUCUUUCACGGUGUAUUUCAUACUUUCUUUUGUUUUCCUUUGUUUGAUUCGUAGAGUUAUGAAUUCUAGUUAACAUGACGUUAAGGGCAAAGUUUAAAGCCCGUCUCUAUGUUUUGAAAUAAAGUUGUGAUUUCUAUGUGUUGAUUUCUAUGUUGCUUAUGUGAGA